rnacentral:rRNA from 1 species
GCUCAGAUUGAACGCUGGCGGCAGGCCUAACACAUGCAAGUCGAGCGGUAGCACAGAGAGCUUGCUCUCGGGUGACGAGCGGCGGACGGGUGAGUAAUGUCUGGGAAACUGCCUGAUGGAGGGGGAUAACUACUGGAAACGGUAGCUAAUACCGCAUAACGUCGCAAGACCAAAGUGGGGGACCUUUCGGGCCUCAUGCCAUCAGAUGUGCCCAGAUGGGAUUAGCUAGUAGGUGGGGUAACGGCUCACCUAGGCGACGAUCCCUAGCUGGUCUGAGAGGAUGACCAGCCACACUGGAACUGAGACACGGUCCAGACUCCUACGGGAGGCAGCAGUGGGGAAUAUUGCACAAUGGGCGCAAGCCUGAUGCAGCCAUGCCGCGUGUGUGAAGAAGGCCUUCGGGUUGUAAAGCACUUUCAGCGGGGAGGAAGGCGGUGAGGUUAAUAACCUCACCGAUUGACGUUACCCGCAGAAGAAGCACCGGCUAACUCCGUGCCAGCAGCCGCGGUAAUACGGAGGGUGCAAGCGUUAAUCGGAAUUACUGGGCGUAAAGCGCACGCAGGCGGUCUGUCAAGUCGGAUGUGAAAUCCCCGGGCUCAACCUGGGAACUGCAUUCGAAACUGGCAGGCUAGAGUCUUGUAGAGGGGGGUAGAAUUCCAGGUGUAGCGGUGAAAUGCGUAGAGAUCUGGAGGAAUACCGGUGGCGAAGGCGGCCCCCUGGACAAAGACUGACGCUCAGGUGCGAAAGCGUGGGGAGCAAACAGGAUUAGAUACCCUGGUAGUCCACGCUGUAAACGAUGUCGAUUUGGAGGUUGUGCCCUUGAGGCGUGGCUUCCGGAGCUAACGCGUUAAAUCGACCGCCUGGGGAGUACGGCCGCAAGGUUAAAACUCAAAUGAAUUGACGGGGGCCCGCACAAGCGGUGGAGCAUGUGGUUUAAUUCGAUGCAACGCGAAGAACCUUACCUGGUCUUGACAUCCACAGAACUUUCCAGAGAUGGAUUGGUGCCUUCGGGAACUGUGAGACAGGUGCUGCAUGGCUGUCGUCAGCUCGUGUUGUGAAAUGUUGGGUUAAGUCCCGCAACGAGCGCAACCCUUAUCCUUUGUUGCCAGCGGUUAGGCCGGGAACUCAAAGGAGACUGCCAGUGAUAAACUGGAGGAAGGUGGGGAUGACGUCAAGUCAUCAUGGCCCUUACGACCAGGGCUACACACGUGCUACAAUGGCAUAUACAAAGAGAAGCGACCUCGCGAGAGCAAGCGGACCUCAUAAAGUAUGUCGUAGUCCGGAUUGGAGUCUGCAACUCGACUCCAUGAAGUCGGAAUCGCUAGUAAUCGUAGAUCAGAAUGCUACGGUGAAUACGUUCCCGGGCCUUGUACACACCGCCCGUCACACCAUGGGAGUGGGUUGCAAAAGAAGUAGGUAGCUUAACCCUUCGGGAGGGCGCUUACCACUUUGUGAUUCAUGACUGGGGUGAA